rnacentral:rRNA from 1 species
AAAAAACAUGUCUUUUUGUUUUUAUUUAAAGUCAGGCCUGCUCUAUGAUUGAUUAUUAAAUGGCCGCGGUAUAUUAACUGUGCAAAGGUAGCAUAAUAAUUAGUUUCUUGAUUAGGGACUUGUAUGAAUGGUCUGAUGAGAAAUAUACUUUCUUUAUUUCAUUAUUGUGAAUUUUAUUUUUUAGUUAAAAAGCUUAAAUGUUUUUAUUAGACGAUAAGACCCUAUAGAACUUUAUUAAUUUUUUUAUUUAUUUAUUUAUAAUAAUUGAAUUUAGUAGAAUAAAUUAAUUUUGUUGGGGUGAUAGGUAUAUUUUAUUAACUAUAUUUUUUUAUUUUCAUUGAUUUGUGUUUUUUGUGAUCCAUUUAUUGUGAUUAGAAGAUUAAGUUACCUUAGGG